CCGGCGACCGGCGCACGGGUGAGUAACACGUAUGCAACCUGGCCGUGACAGAUGGAUAACCGGGAGAAAUCCCGCCUAAUACAACAUAAUGCCGGGAGGGGACAUCCCCUGCCGGUCAAAGGGGGCGACCCCGGUCAUGGAUGGGCAUGCGGCGCAUUAGGUAGUUGGUGGGGCAACGGCCCACCAAGCCGACGAUGCGUAGGGGUUCUGAGAGGAAGGUCCCCACAUUGGAACUGAGACACGGUCCAAACUCCUACGGGAGGCAGCAG
rnacentral:rRNA from 1 species